GCUUAGUAAACAAGUAAGAUGAAUGAAGAAGGCCAGGAGUAAAAAUAUAGAGAGAAGUGAAGACUGGAAAACUGGAGAACAUCUUUAUCUUAUUUGAAGUGGCCCGUAACCCUUCAGCUCUACUUCAUGGCAGGGACAUUUUAUUUUCUUCCAUAUAGACCUAAUAUUUUGCAAAUAAUUGCCUGCCAAUGGUUCUUCAAGUGUGAGACCAUCAGCAUCACCUUGCAAUGUGUUUGAAGUGCAAGUUCUUGGGCCCUACACCAGAACAACUGAUUCGGAAACACAGAAAUUCACCAAGCUGUGUUUUAACAAACACUUCAGGUCAUUCUGAUGCCCAAGAAGGGAAAUUUUUUGGGUUCAAAUUCCCUGGUCUGAGAGUUCUCACUUACAGAAAGCAGUCCUUACCACAAGAAGACCCUGAUGUGGUGGUCAUCGAUUCAUCUAAACACAGUGAUGAUUCAGUAGCCAUGAAGCAUUUUAAGUCUCCUACAAAAGAAAGCUGCAGCCCCUCUGAAGCAGAUGACACAAAAGCUUUGAUACAGCCCAGCAAAUGUUCUCCCUUGGUGAAUAUAUCCGGACCUCUUGACCAUUCCUCUCCCAAAAGGCAAUGGGACCGACUCUACCCUGACAUGCUGCAGUCAAGUUCCCAGCUGUCCCAUUCCAGAUCAAGGGAAAGCUUAUGUAGUAUACGGAGAGCAUCUUCGGUCCAUGAUAUAGAAGGAUUCGGCGUCCACCCCAAGAACAUAUUUAGAGACCGACAUGCCAGCGAAGGGCCUUUUAAUCAUAUCAAGUCAAGCCUCCUGGGAUCCACAUCAGAUUCAAACCUCAACAAAUACAGCACCAUUAACAAGAUUCCACAGCUCACUCUGAAUUUUUCAGAGGUCAAAACUGAGAAAAAGAAUUCAUCACCUCCUUCUUCAGAUAAAACCAUUAUUGCACCCAAGGUUAAAGAUCGAACACACAAUGUGACCGAGAAAGUGACCCAGGAUCUCUUUAUCCCUACAUCACGAGGGCCUUAGUAGAACACCUGGCAGAAUGGAGUUCAUCAAAUGUUUGCUGAAUAAAUGAGUGCAUAAAUGGAUGGAAGAGUUAGCCAAGGGAAGGGAUAAGAAUUCCAGGUAGAAAAAAACACAAGAACAAAGUUAUGAAAGCAGUAAAGUCCAUAUGACUUGUUAGAACAAGUGGUUUUCUGAGCUGGCGAGAGGCUAGUCUGGAAAAUUUACCUUCAAAAUAACACUUUUCUACCUUUUCACAUAAGUGCCAUGGGGGUUUGAGUAAAAUGCAACAGUUUCCAUC
rnacentral:sRNA from 1 species